GUUAGUCCCUGCUAGGCGGGCGAGCGAAACACACAUGACUGUACUAUAUAAAAAUGUAUGUUUGAUGCUUGCAAAUCAUGUCAGCUUUGGGUGGCUUACAGCUGGCUGUCAUCCUUUCUUGCCGGAUCAAAUGAAUUUCUCAACUGAUUCUGCUGCUCCGGGCUUGUCUCAUGGCACGGGUGGCAACUCCUGCCCUUUACUCCAGAAAAGACCAAUGUAAAGGUCAGAAUGAACGUCAAGCAGUUUAUCCCUGCCUUGAAGAGGGACUGCGCAGAACAUUAGAGAGAACUCAACAGUGCCAGUUUGGGAUUAUUUUCCAUUCUAGUUUGGGCCCCCGGAAUCACAUGCCUCCAGCACCAUCCCUCCCCCAUGCGUGCAGCACACACUUGGGACAGCAAAUAAAGGAGCCAUUCAGAGUG